AUGAACAGCAGGUAGGUGAUCUGCUCGAUCACCUCGAGCGGGUUGGCGAUGCCACCCGACCAGAAUGCGUUCCAGACCGCGUCGAUCUUG
rnacentral:tRNA from 1 species